UACAGAGGUGGCAAGCGUUGUUCGGAAUUACUGGGCGUAAAGGGCGCGUAGGCGGUUCGUUAAGUCCUGUGUGAAAUCCCCCGGCUCAACUGGGGAACUGCACAGGAAACUAGCGGGCUUGAGUUCGGGAGAGGGAAGCGGAAUUCCGGGUGUAGCGGUGAAAUGCGUAGAUAUCCGGAGGAACACCGGUGGCGAAGGCGGCUUCCUGGACCGACACUGACGCUGAGUGAGCGAAAGCCAGGGGAGCAAACGGG
rnacentral:rRNA from 1 species